GGUGCUGUGCACGGGCUCAUUUGACUACGCAUAGUACUGUAUUAGAGGUAAAAAAAAUUAUAUAAAUACUGUUCGGCUUCUCGCACAAACCGAUCGUUUCGUUUCUUAGGAUAUCAAUGUGUCGUCACGAGCGGCAGGGUUUAAUUUGGAUUUGUCUGUGCAUGUUUUUACUGUCUGAGAUUUUGUUACUAUUCACAUGCAUACAGACUGAAACGGUUGGAGUUUCUACAUUUGUGUUGUACUGAAGAAACAAAAUCACAUACAUCUUGGAUGGCCUCGGGGUAAGCUGAUAAAUACAAAAAAUUCAUUUUAAGAUGAAUCCCGUACGUUGGCGGCUGUUUUAAACUGGGUGCUCGGCUCAGACCCUUUUGCCAGUAUGAAGCCGAUUUCAACGGUAACUGCAGAAAGCGUCAGCACGCUUAGCUCAUCACUGGAGUAACGUCUGUACAACGGGUGAGAUAAAACUCAACGCCUGACUGAAUCAUCCAUUCCCUUUUCGAUCCUACGCCAUACGUUAAACUUGAGGUAAGUCUUGUGUUCAGUUUCCUUAAAAAGCAUCAACAUUCACGCUAAGCAUAGUUUCAAUCGAGUUCCCGUCACAUCAUAUAUUAACUCUAUUUCGAACUGUUGCUGAUUACAUGUUGGUUAUUAUUGAUUCGUUCAUGUUCCUUUGACAUGUUCAUGUACUUUUUUCCAGAUGAAACAAACAUAAAGAAUUCAUAAUUCAUUUAAGAAUUAUUAAUUAGGACAACAUCAAAUUAUUUAUCAUGUCUGAGAAAAGUAGUGCAAAUUUUGGAUAAUAUGAAAGUGGCUCCAACUUUUAUGGCGCGAACGAAGCUAGCAUUGACUAGCUGGGAUGUUAAAUAAUGGGACGCAAUUUUUAUUAAAUGCAAUUUACGUGAUUAAUAUUUACAAGCAUAGUGUUCUUUGGAAGAAAAUUAAGUGGAACAAAAUGUUAGCUGGUAGUGCUGUGACAAAUCGCAGUUGAUCCGAACCACGGUUCGGCUCGCAUGUGAUUCGCGGAUUAAUAUAUACCAGUGUAUGGAAUGUCACAAUUAUAGAUUUGUAUGUAAACUUAAACAUGUCUUGAUGGACCCUAAUUUAUGCACUGUGCAGUUAUGCUGGUAGUUGGGUAAUGUCAUAAUGGUUAUUGGGUUGGGCUUGGACUAAAAAAGGGAAAUUGUAAUGGUUUAGUAUAAUAAGACAUUAUGUAUGGUUUUGUACAAUGCUAAUCUUUUUUUCUUUUUUCCUCAGGUAAUCUUGCUUUUGCUGUUCUAAAAUAAACACUGCUCUUAGGUAAGAAUGGCUGAUCAAAUGCAUUAUUUUAAAUCUAAUCUGAGACACAAAGCAGUUAAAUCGUUGUCUAAUUUGCUGCAAGGUAUUAAGAACGACAGUAAGCUUGUUGACGAUGAUCUGACUGAUGACUGAUAUGUGUGAUGAGAUUAAAACUAUGGCUGUGCAAAAAAAUCGAUACAGCUAACUACCAUGAUAGUUAGCUGUAUCGAUAGUGUAUCGAUAUUUCGAUUUCUACUGUCGAUAUUUUAAAAAAACAUCAAAUCCCUCUGUGUGCGUCAAACGACCUCCUCGCCGCUGCUAUAGUUGUCACUGUCCAGUUGUCUGCCAUAUACGGCCAUUCGGCCAAUGUCUCAGAAGUUAGAGGGAGUGAGAAAAUGGCAGAAAAUUUAAAAACACCUGCAUCUUUCAAAGAGCUGCAGGUGUUCAGCUCUAUUUUUUACAUUUUUGAUUGUAUUGUGAUACGUAUCUUAUCAUGACCCAUGUAUCGUGACACGUAUCGUAUCGGGAGGCCCUUGCCAAUACCCAGCCCUAAUUAAAACAACUUUUCUUUUAGCACACCACCCAUACAUGGCACACAAAACAGGUCUUGUGAGGGGGCUGUGCCCACAGGUAGAAAUUCUGUAGGUCCACGGGCUUCUCCCCUUUCAGCGAACAUCACAGCGCUUAGUCCACCAUCGUGGUCUCCAAUCUCCAUUACCAACAGCCUGAGUGCUACACCUACAGACACCCCAACCCAUGCAGCAGCUGGCAGAAGUCAGACAUCAGGCCAAACUGGAUUUCAACACACCCCACCCUUACAUGGCACACAAGUAUAUGACACACAACACAGGUCUUCUCAGGAGGCUGUGCCUACAGCAAUAGGCUUUAUGCCCAGCUGCACUACUUCCUGAACUUCAGCCAGCUCCUUGUUUCCUGUCUGCCAUUAUUGGACAAACUGAUUAAUCCAGGUGUGCCUGAGCUUAGUAGUCACAACAACAAUAAUCAGACACACCUGGAUUUAUCAGUUUGUCCAGUAUUGGCUGACAGGAAACAAGGAGCUUAAAGCCUAUUGCUAAGGAGAUCCUCAUCCAGCUCGAUUUUAUUAGAGAGCAGCAGUUGCAGACUUCACCCCAGACCCAACACAUUUUGGGCUCCCACUUUCAACUAUUGAGGAGCUACAAUGUUUGUAGGAGACAUUAAAUAAUCCAGAUGAGAAGAAGAAUUUGGUGAGACUGUGUUUCCUGCAAUGGUCGGAGACAAGACUCUUAAAGACACCGUGGGGUGGGUCCUGAAAAAAACAAUGAACUCUUCGUGGUGAGACUCAUCAAUUGAAGUGGGGUCAACUGAACGCCUGCAUUCAAAGGGCUCACUUUGAAAAGUGUGGUUUUGGAUGCAGUCCGCCGGAAUGCCCUGACCAAAGAUAGCACAGAAAAGGAGAUAGAGCUCCUCAUCACCAGGUGGUCGGUGCUAGCAUAUGACAGGGAUGGUGGCCGAAUCCAGACAAUAGACAGACAAUGAAUUAAAAUGUUUUAAAUUUAAAAAUGUUGAUUUUUGGAAAAUUCGUAUUUGAACUGAUUGUGUGUGUGUGUGCACCUGGUAAUUAUCACGUUGUGUCCCCACAAAGAUAGGAAUACCAGUAUUUUUGUGACCUUGUGUCCCCAUGAGGAAACAAGCUUAUAAAUCAAACAAAAUGAUGUUUCUUGUAAAUGUGAAGUAGGAGAAGGGUUUCUGUGAUGGUUGGGUUUAGGGAAUGGGGUAGGUAAGGGGAAUAAAAUAUACAGUUUGUAUGGUAUAAAAUGCAUUACGUCUAUGGAAUGUCCCCACAAAACAUGGAAACCUGUUUGUGUGUACGAGAGAGAAAGAAUGUGUGUUCAAGUGAAUAAAAAAUGCAUUAAACGUGAAAUCCUUGUUCUUCCUUGUGUGUUUUAUUUUCAGUUAAUGUUGCAUAAUGGUUGCUUAGCAAUUUUAGUAUUAACCAAUCAAUAAAAUCAAUAAAUUAAACAAGCCCAAA